ACCCCGUCCGCCAACCAUGGCUCAGCUCCACACUUAGCACUCACUUCUGGAAGGUGCUUUAUUCUUCUCCAAAAUGCGUAUUCAUCACCUGUUUGUGUAUUCAUUCACCCAGGAUACAUGGAGCACCUACUGUAUGCCGGAUGUUCUGGGAGCUGGGGAUAAGCAGGGAAUAGGCUAAACCUGACUUAUUCGUGGAGAAAUGGUUACAGCCUGGGGUCUGGAUUUGAAUCCUGGUUCUGCAAUUCCUUGGUGCUCAGUCCUGGCCAAGCCUCCAGCUGGCUGUGACCUCAGGAAUCACUGGCCUCUUGACGGCAAGGAGCCUGAAUGCCAUCUCCCACCGCAGUGCUUCAUUGUCCAGCACCGGGCUUGGCUCUUCCUGCGGGGCUCACGCUUCCACACUCCGAGCCUUUGUCCAGCCGGACCCCACCGUCCCACUGUCAGGUGGCGCUCGGUGUCCCUGCCACGUCUUGCUCUGCCCACCGAGCCCUUAAUUAUCUGUUGCAGCCCCAGCACCUGGAUUGGGAGCUGCUGAAAAACAGAGACUCAGUGGAUGUAGUGCCCUGCAUUGGCCUGGCCAGACGAGAGAGCAGUAUAUGGUCUUUAAAUGAACAGCCUGGAAGAUGUCACAAAGGAGGGAAAAUUCAGGCAAGAUUUUGCAUGUGGGAGAAGAAUAACAUGUACUCACUGGAGGCAUAGAGUCAGUGCACAUAAAAACAAAUCACAGCAACAAUACUCCUGACAACUAGUAUUGAGCACAGCGUAGUAUGGUGGGUAAGAAUGGAGAUGAAGCUCUGCCUCUUACUGGUUGUGUGACCUUGGACAAGGUAUACCAUCGCUCUGUGCCUCAGUUUCCUCAUUUGUCAAAAGGGGAGAGUAAAGGUACCCACCUUACCGGGAACUCAAUGGGCUAAUAUCUGCAAGGUGCUGAGAGCUGUGUUGGGCACGCACGGGCGCUUGUGUUUGCUCCAUCGCCAAGCACCUUGGGUGUGCCAGGCACUUCCAUCUGGCACCCCACUUAGCCCUCACAGCAGCCUGAGAGGCAGGGCUCUUGUGUCCUUUUACCAAGAAAUGAGUUGUGUGGGGGCCAAAGGUUCUUGCUAAUGCCAUUCACUGGAUAGGGGACAGGAAUGGGAUUUGAACCCACGUCUCUCUGGCCUGCCGCCCACCCAUGUUCCUUGACUGUGGCACCUGCCUGCAGGAUGAGGGGGAGGAAGAGAAGAUGCCCCAGUGGGAAGGCAGGGAGGCUUUCCGGAGAUGGGGCCUCCGGAGCAGAGCGGCAGGCGUUUUUCUAGAGCUUUCAUUUCUGUCUCCCUCUUCUGAGCAGGUGAAAAACCCCAUAGAGGGCCCUUCACGGAGUGCUCCCCCUUGUCCUCCCCCUCCUGAUGCUGCCUCAUCCCCCCACGCUGGGAGGGGGGAGGUCAGGCAUGCAGCGUGGGAGAUGCAGGGGAGGGGAGUGAGGAGGUAGGGGAGCAUCAUUCCAGAUCCUUUCCCUCUGGCACCCCCCUUUCCCCAUCACAGGCGCUCCGGGAGGAGAGAGCAUUCCAGGUGGAAGGAAUGGCAAAUGCAAAGGCUGUGGAUUAAGGAUGUGGAGGCGGGGAAAGCCUGCGAGCUUGGCUGGAACUGAGGUUCAGGGCCCCCUGGGAUUGCUCAGUGGAGAAGAACUUGUUUGACGAGAGGGAGGGAGGGAGGGAGAGAGAGAGAGAGAGAGAGAGAGAGAUACGCAGUGGACCCAGCAAGAGCUGAGGAUGCUAGAGGUAGGGUAGUGGCUGCAGACUAUUCUGGGCUCUGAACACAGUGGUCUCCAUCCUCUUCCCCUCAACCAGGGCUGGUGAAGAGGGGUCACUGUGAUUCUUCAUGGUCCCUGUGCUUUGUUUCUUCCCCUAGAAUCCCUUAACACACUGGGCUCUGCCAACUCUGUACCGGGAAUUGGUUCAUGGCUUUUUAUGCAUUCCCUCAAUGUGUUUUUCUCCCCAGCUCAAGAUCAGUAUUAUUCACUCCAUUUUAUAGAGGAGAAAACUGAGGCUCAGCCAGGUUUUAUAACUUGCUUAAGGUCACACAGAGGGUAACAGGCAGAUCCUGGACUCAAACCCAAGACUUUUUCUGCAGAUGGCAAUUUUGCCGGCUAUACUGGUUCAGGCUGCUUUCCCCAGGGUGUUUGCCAUCCCCAUGGCAACAAUGAGAGGCCCUCCUGUGCUGACAGCACUUCAUAGUUUAUGCAGGCCUUAUUUUUUCGGCUCCUCACAACAGCCCUGUAGGCAGAGCUGCUAUCAUCCCUAUUUCAUAGAUAAGGAAACUGAGGCUCAGACGGGGGUGUGACUUGGCCAAGACUGUUGGGACUCAAACCCAGUUCUGGUGACUCUAAAUGUCUUUUUGCUUUCCCUUGCAGAGGAAGAGGGUCUGUUCCCUGCUCUAAUCUGCCCCUUAGGGCAGGGAACAAACAGGC